CGGUCAAAUGCGUUUUUCCUCUCUCCUCCUUCUCUUUCACGCACAAUUUUCUCUCUCCUCGUUCAAGUUCAUCCAACGAUUAGAGAGAGAAGCAAAACUAUGGCAGUACAAGAGCUUGAGAAAUCAAUGGCGGCAACUGAGAUUGAAGACCAGAGAAAAGACGAUGAUGAUUUGGAGGAAGGCGAGAUUAUCAACGACAACUCAAACGCCGAAAAACCCAGCAAAUCAAUCGCAACAACUCAUCCUCUUGAGAAUGCUUGGACUUUUUUGUUGGAUAAUCUUACUGCUAAAUCGAAACAAGCUACUUGGGGUAGAUCUAUUCGACCCAUUUAUACUUUCUCUACUGUUGAAGAAUUAUGGAGAAGCUGAGAAUUGUGACUGCUGACAAGGUCAUACUAAAUGAUCCGUGGCCUGGAAAACGAGUUGAAGAAGGCAAUUAUACUAAUAUUCCACUAAGGGAUGAGUUUCUUGAAAAUGCCCGUGUUUUUAUUUGUGAAACCUAUUAUUAGCACAUUGACAUGGGGUAUGUUUAUGUUAUAUGACUUUGUGUACUUUGUUUCGGUGAAUAAAGAUAAUCUUAUGGCAAUAACUAUUUGAUUUGGA